rnacentral:lncRNA from 1 species
AAGAGGGAAAAACCAUUUUUGAGUAAAAUCAAUAAAAAAUUUUAUUUUUAGAAAAAAAAUUAGCCGUCAUUGGUUGGAAUUCUCAAAGAAUCGACUUCCGGUGGUGGUGGAGUCCGACAUUAGCUCGAUGUUCUAUUUUGCUGCUCUGAAAGAGGUAAACACCUCUUUCUUUGAUAUUUGUUAUCAUUUUUUUCUUCUUUAUGAAUCCAUAGUCGUAAAUGUUGUUUGCUGGGAAUAAGUUAUUAUAGACAGGCUUGAAGGCCAUAGUCUCAUUUGAUAAAGAUUGUGGCUUUCAACGUAUUGAUGUGUUAGCAUAUUUAGGUUUCUGGUUUCUAUUUAUUUUCAUAAAAGUUUGCUAUUUUUGAUUUUCCAUUGGUGAUCUUAGCUUUUUAGUUCUUUAAAGUUUGAAUGUUGCUCAAAGUAUAUGUUUUGCUUGUUAAUCCUCGAUUCAUGUUAUCGGUGUUUCCACAUGCUUGGUUUCUGAUUGAUUGAACAUUGUUUAAUAUAGGAUUAGACUAGUGUUCUUAUCAUGGUUGUUAGCUUACAUGUUUAAUUGAAAGAUUUAUUUCGUAAAGUUCACUUUUGGUGUUUUGUUUUAAAUGGAGACUGGGGUUUAAGUUUCUUUGUCCUUUAAUACUAAUGUUAGAAACUAAACCAUAACAAGGUCACCAAUCCAAUGACUUCUUAAAAAUUAUUUCUACUCUUGUAGAUCAUUUCUUAGAAUGUUGAAAGAGGAUGGGGAUUAGAAUGGUAUGAUCUCACAUUUUUCUUCUCCAACAGAUUGUUUGAUUUUCUCUUAAAACAUGUUUUUUGUAGUGUAGUAUGUGCUUAUUUUUUCAUCUAAAUCAAAGUCUCUUUUUGGGAAAUAAAAGAUAGAGUCUCUACACGCGCUUGGUAUUCAUAUUAUUGAGUAUAAUUUAUCGUGACAAAAUAGCGUGGUUGGCAUUUGGAGUUAUACACUUUCGAGUACCUUAGCCCUUUUUAAAACAAUCUAACUAGAACUCUACCCUUGCGUUUUCCAAAACCUUGCAGUAACUCUAAGGAAAAUAUAAUACUCACUUUAUCUAGUGUGGAUAUGAUGUUUACCUUUGUUAAAUUAUAGAUAUUUUGUCUCCUGUAGAUGGGAUCUUUCUAAAUUUGUGUAAAUUGUCAAUUCUUGUUUUUUUAGGAGUUCAAUUAGGUUUGUGGCCAGGUCCCGUUCUUCAUUUAUUCCUAACCUUCAAGUUUCUCUUGAAUUGAAUCAGUGUUAGUUUGAGAGAUGGAAUCUAUUAUCGGAUAAAAGUUAAUUGCGAAGUUAUCCUAGAAAAGCGUGAUCUCUUGCAAAUCUUUUGGUGCAAAAACUAUUAAAGAAUCCAAUAUGAAUGCAUAAGAUGGUGUAACCCCAGUUGGUGUGCAUUUUAUUUCUUCAAAUUACAAUAAAUUAGUUUUUCUAUCAUACAGUAUGUUUGAAAUCAUUAAGGUGAUUGAUUAUUUGAAUAUCCAUUUUCCUUAUCUUAUUUUUAUUAUCCAUUUUAUUGUUGCUUGUCUUUGGUCCAUUCAUUUAUUAUUGAAAUUUGGAUUCCUUAAAAUGGUCACUAGUAGAAGGAUAUCACGAGGUAUCAUUUUGGUGUUCUUACUUUUAAAAUUGGUUUUGAAUAGGGUAAUAUUUAAGUAUCAGGUUUCUAAUGUGUUGAUUUACUUUUCCCUUUGCAUUUUGGAUAUGUUUUGAUUUCUUUUCUUUCAUCUUUCGCAUAUGAAUCCGCUUUGGAGUUCAAACCAGCUCCCUCCUUUUUGCAUUUCAUAAUGGGCCAAUAAGGCCCAUCUUUUGAGUCGAGUUCUGCAAUUACUGCAAGAUCGAUUGACUUUUGGAUAAAGAAGUUGAUAUUGAUGGAAGAGGAAAAUAGGUUGAUACCCAUUGGUGAAAAUUUGUCAAACUUGUAUUGUUUGUUUUAUUAUUUUUUUCUGCUUCUUUAUCUAUUUAUUCAUUCAUUUGGGCCUCGAAGCCAAAGUUGUAAUUUUAAUACAGGUCAAGCGGAUUUUGGGCCAAAAGGUCCAAAAAAAUGAUUCGAGACAGGUUAUGGGCUAAAAGCUCAAUAUUUAGAUUAAGACAGGUGACGACGGGACAAAAGCCCAAAUGGAUAGUUUAGGACAGGUGCAAGCAGGUUUGGGACUAAAAGCCUAAUCUCAUUUUUUACCUUUUACUUUUCUAUGUUUAUUUGCUAUUUGUGCCUUAAAAUUUAGUUAAAUUCCUUACUAAGUCAUCAAAUUGAUUUUACACAAGUUUUGUUUUAAAUCACUUUUUUUUAAAAAUCAAUCUUUUUAAAGUUAGUCAAAAGAUAUUUUCAAACAGUCCGGAUAACCGCAAGUUAGCGAACGUUUUAGAUGUCUUAAACCUUCUUAAAACGUUAAUAAGAACCGCUUACUCAGAAUCUUUAAAUUUUAAUGAUUUUUUCUGUUUUGGAUCGUUUAAAGUAUUUCAUAAAGAUUUUUUAAUUCCUUUUCAAAAUUAAGUGGCGACUCUGAAAGGAAAAUUUUUGCAAAACAAAAAUGGUGACUCUGCUGGGGAUUCUAACUAGGUUCUAACCAAAUGUUUGAUUUCAUCUAUUGACUAACUGUUUAAAUUGCUUACGUAUUUAUGUGUUUCAAUUUUGCAGAAUUUAAUUAUUGCAUUUGAUGGCAUGGUCCUGCAUUGAUUAUUAAUUUGUUUUGGGGGGUUUUGUGGAUGUCCCAACCCUUAUUGUUCACCUCUAAAUCAAAUGUUGGAAAUAUGACAGUUUACUGGCACAUUGGGCAGUCGAAGGCUGAUCAUGUUUUCAAACUCAAGUUUUUCGCUUGGGAACAUGUGUCCAAACCCACUCUAGACACCUAGGAUAUAGCGAAACCAAAACCCUAUUUUAGGUAUAAGUCUAGAACGACUAUUGUGCCUAUUAGAAAACUUUCCAUGCAUCUAUUGACCCCGAGUUAAUUACAGAUAAAUCAUAUCUAUGUGUUGAAGAAGAAUAUAUUUUAUUUAAUCCAAUCUAUUAUCUUGCUCUGCUUUCGUGUAAGGAUUCCUUAAUCAUACACCAAUUGAGAGAGGAAUUGAAGCAAACCAAGAAAGAAACUAAUCGAUUUAGACGGUUGCAUCUAAGGCACAACUAUACGGAAAUAGCUUGAUUAUCAACGGAUGUUGUCAAUGACAAGAAGUGGACAAAGAUAAGAAGGCGAAGGCCGAUAGAAGAAACAUUCAGGAUUUAGUAUUUCCUAUCCCCUGCGUGGGACAUCAUUUUUUUUCUCAUGUGAUUUCCCUUUCCCUAAAGAUUGUACCCCCUUUGUGGAACUUUUGUAGGCAUUUAUGCCAUUUAUGUAUAUCUAUGAAAUUGGGGGAUAAUGGAUUGGCUUUAAAA